rnacentral:pre_miRNA from 1 species
UGUGGGUGGGAGGGUCCCUCAGCCCAGAUUGCAAAAGGACGCAGGCCAGGCUGAGGAAUCCCACCGGUGCACA